rnacentral:rRNA from 1 species
GAUGAACGCUGGCGGCGUGCUUAACACAUGCAAGUCGAACGAAGCACUUGAAUGGAAUUCUUUGGAAGGAAGCUCAAGUGACUGAGUGGCGGACGGGUGAGUAACGCGUGGGUAACCUGCCUCAUACAGGGGGAUAACAGUUAGAAAUGACUGCUAAUACCGCAUAAGCACACGUGAUCGCAUGAUCGAGUGUGAAAAACUCCGGUGGUAUAAGAUGGACCCGCGUUGGAUUAGCUUGUUGGUGGGGUAACGGCCCACCAAGGCGACGAUCCAUAGCCGGCCUGAGAGGGUGAACGGCCACAUUGGGACUGAGACACGGCCCAGACUCCUACGGGAGGCAGCAGUGGGGAAUAUUGCACAAUGGGGGAAACCCUGAUGCAGCGACGCCGCGUGAAGGAAGAAGUAUCUCGGUAUGUAAACUUCUAUCAGCAGGGAAGAUAGUGACGGUAC